rnacentral:rRNA from 1 species
UGGGGAAUAUUGGACAAUGGGGGCAACCCUGAUCCAGCAAUGCCGCGUGUGUGAAGAAGGCCUUCGGGUUGUAAAGCACUUUUAUCCGGAACGAAACGUGUCGGGUUAAUAACCCGGCAAACUGACGGUACCGGAGGAAUAAGCACCGACUAACUUCGUGCCAGCAGCCGCGGUAAUACGAAGGGUGCAAGCGUUAAUCGGAAUUACUGGGCGUAAAGGGUGCGUAGGCGGUUAGUUAAGUCUGUUGUGAAAUCCCCGGGCUCAACCUGGGAAUGGCGAUGGAUACUGGCUAGCUAGAGUGUGUCAGAGGAUGGUGGAAUUCCCGGUGUAGCGGUGAAAUGCGUAGAGAUCGGGAGGAACAUCAGUGGCGAAGGCGGCCAUCUGGGACAACACUGACGCUGAAGCACGAAAGCGUGGGGAGCAAAC